rnacentral:rRNA from 2 species
CGGUAAUACGUAGGGUGCAAGCGUUAAUCGGAAUUACUGGGCGUAAAGCGUGCGCAGGCGGUUCGGAAAGAAAGAUGUGAAAUCCCAGAGCUUAACUUUGGAACUGCAUUUUUAACUACCGAGCUAGAGUGUGUCAGAGGGAGGUGGAAUUCCGCGUGUAGCAGUGAAAUGCGUAGAUAUGCGGAGGAACACCGAUGGCGAAGGCAGCCUCCUGGGAUAACACUGACGCUCAUGCACGAAAGCGUGGGGAGCAAACAGGAUUA